GAGUGCCAUCCGCUGAGGAAGGCUUUUACCCAGUCUAGACCUUUGGGGGAAUAAGGAGAGGGCAAGUCUGGUGUCAGCCGCCGCGGUAAUACCAGCUCUCCGAGUGGUGUGGAUGUUUAUUGGGCCUAAAGCAUCCGUAGCUGGCUAAGUUAGUCCCUUGUUAAAUCCACCGAAUUAAUCGUUGGAUUGCGGGGGAUACUGCUUGGCUAGGGGACGAGAGAGGCAGACGGUAUUUUCGGGGUAGGGGUGAAAUCCUAUAAUCCCGGGAAGACCACCAGUGGCGAAGGCUGUCUGCUAGAACGCGCCCGACGGUGAGGGAUGAAAGCUGGGGGAGCGAACCGGAUUAGAUACCCGGGUAGUCCCAGCUGUAAACGAUGCAGGCUAGGUGUUUGGACGGCCACGUGCCGUUCUAGUGCCGCAGGGAAGCUGUUAAGCCUGCCGCCUGGGGAGUACGAUCGCAAGAUUGAAACUUAAAGGAAUUGGCGGGGGAGCACCACAAGGGGUGAAGCUUGCGGUUUAAUUGGAGUCAACGCCGGAAAUCUCACCGGGAGCGACAGCAGUGUGAAGGCCAGAUUAAAGGUCUUGCCAGACGAGCUGAGAGGUGGUGCAUGGCC
rnacentral:rRNA from 1 species